GUUAAAAAGUGAGUAGAGUUAUUUCUUCAGCGGUUUGAACGGGGUAUGACUGCACAAGUGCAUGGUGGUUGGCCAGUGAGAACAGCGGGAAGAGUUUAAAAAGAAGGCAGAUUUACGGAGCGGGCGAUGGUGUUGAGGCCAGGUAUUUCCUUUUCAAAGGGUAAUCAGGGCAAUCCAUCCGCAAUUCCAUGAUUAGUUGUCCUCUAGAAUUUGAUCUUGUAAUCGCUUCGCCAAGAAACAGCCCAUCUCUGCAUUCAUGAUACUGCUGUUAGUGGAACACUCUUCUGUGGAUUGAAAAUGGACAUCAGUGGUUGAUGAUCAGUAAUGAGGAUGCUGUGGAUGUCAGCCUUUUCUAUUCACUUCCUUAUAUUUCUCCCUCACAAUCAACAACUCUGAGUAAGUUAUUGACCAUGGC